GUCAGGAUGGCCGAGUGGUCUAAGGCGCCAGACUCAAGUUCCGGUCUUCGUGAGAAGGCGUGGGUUCAAAUCCCACUUCUGACA
rnacentral:tRNA from 1 species